GACGAACGCUGGCGGCGUGCUUAACACAUGCAAGUCGAGCGAUGAGAUCCUAACAGUCCGCUUCGGGGUGGAGACGAGACGGAGUAGCGGCCGACGGGUGAGUAACACGGGAGUAAGGUGACUUUUACACAGGGAUAGCUUCAGGAAACCAGGAUUAAAACCUGCUGAAAGGAUCAAAGCAAGUGAUGAAGGUAGGUAAAACUCCGGUGGUAAAAGAUGGACUUGCGUCCCGUGAGCUAGAUGGUGAAGGUAACGGCCCGCCAGGGCAAGGAUGGGUAGCCGGGCGGGGGGGCGGACCGGCUACAUUGGAACUGAGGACCGGUCCACACUCCUACGGGAGGCAGCAGUGGGGAAUAUUGCACAAUGGGGGAAACCCUGAUACAGCCACGCCGCGUGAGCGAGGAAGGCCUUCGGGUCGUACAGCUCUUUUAUAUGGGAAGAUAAUGACGGUACCGUGAGAAAAAGCCCCGGCUAACUACGUG
rnacentral:rRNA from 1 species